AAUCUCUCUCAUUGCAGGCUGAAGAGGACUGGCCUUUCAGUGGCCCUCGUGGAACGGUAGGAAGCUGAGCUGGACUCUCUGCCACAUCGUUCGGUUCCCACAACAGCCUGAAAUGGGGUCUUGCCUUGUUGCCCAGGCUGGAGUGCAGCAACGUGAUCAUAGUUUACUGUAGCCUGGGCUCAACUCCUGGGCUCCAGUGAUCCUCCCGCCUCAGCCUCACAAGUAGCUGGGACCAUAGAUGAAGCAGCAGCAGAAAAAAUGGAAGCCAUUUUGGUUAACGGGUCACAUCUUAGCAGUUGGCAGCGUAAGAAGCGGAAGGAUCCACUGGUCAGAAAUGGAGAUUGAGGAGAAGCUGAGAGCACGGAGGGCUUCAGGGGAGAGCCUGUCCUUUGGAAAAGCGGGCAAUUUGCACUCGUGGUAGAUGAGUGGGGAGGCCGCUCAGUCUCUCUGCCCCUUUGCACAUGCUGCACCCGUUUAGUUUGACGUCGUGGAGAGCUCCUCCAGGCACGGGCUGUGUGAAAGGGUUUAAAAGUUUGGGGGCAUGGCUGGGGGUCCCCGCAUGAGGGGUGCUGUGUAGGCUCC
rnacentral:lncRNA from 1 species